UCCUACGGGAGGCAGCAGUAGGGAAUCUUCCACAAUGGGCGCAAGCCUGAUGGAGCAACACCGCGUGAGUGAAGAAGGGUUUCGGCUCGUAAAGCUCUGUUGUUGGAGAAGAACGUGCGUGAGAGUAACUGUUCACGCAGUGACGGUAUCCAACCAGAAAGUCACGGCUAACUACGUGCCAGCAGCCGCGGUAAUACGUAGGUGGCAA
rnacentral:rRNA from 1 species